rnacentral:misc_RNA from 1 species
GAUGAAGAACGCAGCGAAAUGCGAUAAGUAAUGUGAAUUGCAGAAUUCAGUGAAUCAUCGAAUCUUUGAACGCACAUUGCGCCCUCUGGUAUUCCGGGGGGCAUGCCUGUUCGAGCGUCAUUAUAACCACUCAAGCUCUCGCUUGGUAUUGGGGUUCGCGGUUCCGCGGCCCCUAAAAUCAGUGGCGGUGCCUGUCGGCUCUACGCGUAGUAAUACUCCUCGCGAUUGAGUCCGGUAGGUCUACUUGCCAGCAACCCCCAAUUUUUACAGGUUGACCUCGGAUCAGGUAGGGAUACCCGCUGAACUUAAGCAUAUCAAUAAGCGGCGGA